rnacentral:misc_RNA from 1 species
CAACAUUUUGAAACUGAUAUGGAAAGUCUUGAACAAAUGAAAAACUCUAAAGAUAGAAACAUAGAUCCAUGUAGCAUCAUGAUAGAUGUUGCUAUGUAUGAUGAAGGCAACCCGAUUAUGGAAUGGUUGUGCAGUUCUAGGAGUGAAUCAGUGCCGACACUUGAUGAAAAUGAUGAGUCUGAAUCGCCUAACAGACCAAGUGGAUUCGUUUUAGAAGAGUUAGGAGGAUUGAAUGAAGAAGAGAUGGUUCUUUUAAAUUCUAGGAUUGGUUCUGGUAGGAAAAAUGGUAGGAAAAGGAAUGAUGUAGAAGAAGAUAUUGGAGAUGAUUUCUUAUCAGAUAGUAGUGAGGGAGGAGGUAGCCCAACCUACAACGAAUCAGGUGAUAGUGACUCUAAUGAUGGUGAGUUCAAUUUUGAGUUAAUUAUGCACUAUUUGUCAUGUCCUUUUUAUGAUUCAAAUUAUCUUCAAUAUCAUUGUGAAAGGUGGUGGUGAUGACGAAGAUGGUGAACCUAGUGGUCCAUGUUUUGCAGCUAGGACACAACCUAAAUUAGCUACAGACCAAUAUAAUGGUCCUGGUCAAGAUGAACAAGCAGUGCCUCUCCGUCCAAGAUCAAAAAGGCAGAAGAAGCUCUCCAUCAAGGGUCUGUACAUGCUUCAGAAGUGAUCUAAUCUUCAAGCACAAGCACAAGAAUAUGGCGUAUACAUGGACUGAUUCAAUGGCAAGAUUUUGAACAUGUGGCUCUAUUGUAUCAAUUGUGUG